AUGACGAAACCCAAGAGAGCCGGGGGCAUCGGGUUUCGUGAUAUGCACCUUUUCAACCAGGCAUUGCUGGCCUGACAGGAGUGGAGACUGAUCCAAAAACCAAAAACCCUAUGUGUGAGGGUCCUCAAGUUAAAAUAUUUCCCAAACGGUAACCUUCUCUCCACGGAUGCAUCACCGGCUUGGAGGGGUUCCAAGUUUGGGCUGGAAUUACUUAAGAGGGGUCUUAUUUGGCGAGUGGGGAAUGGAAAAAAGAUACAAAUCACGAGGGACCAAUGGGUACAACAGAAUGAAGGGUUGAAAGUAGCCUCUUUUCUGAGAAGAACAAGACUUAGGUGGGUCAACCAACUCAUUGAUGAAGAGACUAAGGAAUGGAAGUAUGAGCUGGUGAAACAGAUUUUCCGUGACUUUUGCGGAGGAAAUAUGUAA
rnacentral:rRNA from 1 species